GAUGAACGCUGGCGGCGUGCCUAAUACAUGCAAGUCGAGCGAACAGAUAAGGAGCUUGCUCCUUUGACGUUAGCGGCGGACGGGUGAGUAACACGUGGGUAACCUACCUAUAAGACUGGGAUAACUUCGGGAAACCGGAGCUAAUACCGGAUAACAUUUGGAACCGCAUGGUUCUAAAGUGAAAGAUGGUUUUGCUAUCACUUAUAGAUGGACCCGCGCCGUAUUAGCUAGUUGGUAAGGUAACGGCUUACCAAGGCGACGAUACGUAGCCGACCUGAGAGGGUGAUCGGCCACACUGGAACUGAGACACGGUCCAGACUCCUACGGGAGGCAGCAGUAGGGAAUCUUCCGCAAUGGGCGAAAGCCUGACGGAGCAACGCCGCGUGAGUGAUGAAGGGUUUCGGCCCGUAAAACUCUGUUAUUAGGGAAGAACAAAUGUGUAAGUAACUGUGCACGUCUUGACGGUACCUAAUCAGAAAGCCACGGCUAACUACGUG
rnacentral:rRNA from 1 species